GUUGCGAUACAACACGGGUUGCCUCACCACUCCCACCCCCAGCCCCUAAAGGCAGAGAGGUGACUCCGGGGAAGGGAGGGGACGGCAUGGGAGGGAAGCGCCCACGCCUUGGUCCCAGGCAGCCAGGGGCAUGCAGCACCAGCUGGGCGGACUUGGAAAGGAACACCCAGGCCAGGUGCUGGCCGCCUUCUCUGGGCUUCUGCCACUUAAGGCCAGUUUCUCGGUGACCUCUGCCCACCACCCACAGGUAGAGCUCUGGCCCAGAAAGCUGGCUGUCCAGGCCCUGCCUGAGCCAGUCUCCUGCCCUCCCUGCCCCAUUUUGCAGGUGAGAAAACUGAGGCCCAGAGAUGUUAAAUAACUACAGGGUCUCCGAGCACCCCUGUACAGUAUCCGCCUCCUGUCCCACAGCUCCAAGUUCCCCACCUCGCUACGGGCGCCGUGUCCUCAGACCGCACUCGCCACGCACCCCAGAGCUCCCCGAACUCAAGGCUUGUCCCACGUUAUCAUAGUGCAAAGUCCAUAGCAUCAGCCAGAAGUAGAAGAUGAAGAAGAGACCAGUUACGAACUCCGGCAGAUGCCGGCGUCAAGGCUCCGGGCACGUGCGGAGAGGUUCUGGAGACAUCCCCACGUGACACUUUCCGUGACGUGAUCCGAUGGAUGCAAGCCUUCGCUGCUCCCACCAAGAAUGGCUUCCUGUCCUCGGGGGGUCCCUGUCUGGCGGGGGAACCUAGACAAGUCACCAGCAGAGAUGGGGAAACUGAGGCUCAGAGAAGUUACAUCGCCAGCCCAGGGAUGCCCAGAAAGUCAGUGAGAUCUGAACAGUUCGGCUUGCCGAGCCCUGUCCCUUCUGCCUUCCAACCGUCUCUCUGAUGGGUCGCCUCAAGCCUCUCUCCAAAAAUAACGGGAGCAUGA